UACAGAGGUUUCAAGCGUUGUUCGGAUUCAUUGGGCGUAAAGGGCGUGUAGGCGGCGCGGUAAGUCGGGUGUGAAAUCUCGGAGCUUAACUCCGAAACUGCAUUCGAUACUGCCGUGCUUGAGGACUGGAGAGGAGACUGGAAUUUACGGUGUAGCGGUGAAAUGCGUAGAUAUCGUAAGGAAGACCAGUGGCGAAGGCGGGUCUCUGGACAGUUCCUGACGCUGAGGCACGAAGGCCAGGGGAGCAAACGGG
rnacentral:rRNA from 1 species